AUUGAACGCUGGCGGAAUGCUUUACACAUGCAAGUCGAACGGCAGCGCGGGUGCUUGCACCUGGCGGCGAGUGGCGAACGGGUGAGUAACAUAUCGGAACGUGCCCAGUAAUGGGGGAUAACUAACCGAAAGGUUAGCUAAUACCGCAUACGCCCUGAGGGGGAAAGCGGGGGAUCGAAAGACCUCGCGUUAUUGGAGCGGCCGAUAUCUGAUUAGCUAGUUGGUGGGGUAAAGGCCCACCAAGGCGACGAUCAGUAGCUGGUCUGAGAGGAUGAUCAGCCGCACUGGGACUGAGACACGGCCCAGACUCCUACGGGAGGCAGCAGUGGGGAAUUUUGGACAAUGGGCGAAAGCCUGAUCCAGCCAUUCCGCGUGAGUGAAGAAGGCCUUCGGGUUGUAAAGCUCUUUCGGCAGGAACGAAACGCUCUAGAUUAAUACUCUGGGGUAAUGACGUUACCCGCAGAAAAAGCACUGGCUAACUCUGUGCCAGCCGCCGCCGUAA
rnacentral:rRNA from 1 species